UUCCUUCCUCCCUCCCUCUGCCUCUAUGCCUUCCCCUCUGAGUAAACACAGCCCUGUGGCGAGGCCGGCCAUGUUCUCGGAGAGCUGCACAUUGCCACCUGUUGCUAUGGAGAAGCCUCUUUAUCACAAACACUGGGUUUACAAAGAGGCCGGAAGCUCAACCAAUCAGGAAGCUCUGAAGUUGGGAAGUCCCUACCCUGUGGGGCGGGGCCUCUGAUCGCACUUCCUGUUCUCUGAGAGCAGGGCAUCCCCGCCAGGAGGAUCCAAGUACAGGAUGGACAAGUGGCAGCCCAGUCCUCAUCUGUUCCCUGCCCCUGCACACACCAGGAGUGAUGGAAUGCCACAGACCCAGGCUCUCUGCUCCCCAGCC